rnacentral:rRNA from 1 species
GAUCCUGGCUCAGGAUGAACGCUAGCUACAGGCUUAACACAUGCAAGUCGAGGGGCAGCAUGAUUGAAGCUUGCUUCAAUCGAUGGCGACCGGCGCACGGGUGAGUAACACGUAUCCAACCUGCCGAUAACUCGGGGAUAGCCUUUCGAAAGAAAGAUUAAUACCCGAUAGUAUAGUAUUUCCGCAUGGUUUCACUAUUAAAGAACUUCGGUUAUCGAUGGGGAUGCGUUCCAUUAGAUUAG